ACAAAAGGGCUGUCACCCCCCAGGCUAACCACCCCCCCCCACCCCCCCCGCCCAGCACAGUGUGUGAGGGUGGAGUGGGUCACCUUCAUGUUGGUCACACGAUGUUCCAUGCCUAGCAGUCCAGGACGGCAAUGGUGAAUCCUAAGACAGCCUGUCACAGCCAGGCCCUUUCCUUGCUCAUGACAUGGGCAAUUCCCUAACCAAGGCCAAUACCCCUUUGGGACGCGUUCUGAAAAACUGGGAUGACUUUGAUCCACAAACCCUGAAGAAGAAGCAACUCAUUUUCUUUUUGCCCCGAGGCUUGGCCCCAAGGCAAAUUGGAGGAGGAAACCUGGCCGCCCGAGGGAUAUACCGAUUAUAAUGCCACCCUACGAUUGGACUUGAUCUGCAAAUGUGAGGGGAAAUGGGGAGAAGUCCCUAUGUUCAGUGUUUUGGGGGCCUUAAGAGACAAUCGAGACAUAGGACAAGAGCCUGGUGGCCUUCCUGGAAAGGCCUCCCCGCUCUGAAGCUGAGAAGAUUCUAAAGGACAAAUCUGUCCAAAAGACAAAAUUGGCCCCUGAUAUUCAAAGGAAGCUACAAAAAUUGGCUAUUGGUCCGGAAGGGACCCUAGAGGAGCUUUUACAAGCUGCCAAUUGGAUAUAUGACUAUCGAGAUUAAAAGGAGAAUCAGGAACAGGAAAGAAGGCUUAAAAAAAAAUCUGGGGCACCUGGGUGGCUCAGUUGGUUGAGUGUCCGACUUCAGCUCAGGUCAUGAUCUCGCGGUUCAUGGGUUCGGGCCCUGUGUUGGGCUUUGUGCUGACAGCUCAGAGCCUGGAGCCUGCUUCAGAUUCUGUCCCCCUUUCCCUCUCCCCUACUCA